GAAACUCAAAGGAAUUGACAGGGACCCGCACAAGCGGUGGAUGAUGUGGUUUAAUUCGAUGCAACGCGAAAAACCUUACCCACCUUUGACAUGUACGGAAUCCUGAAGAGAUUUGGGAGUGCUCGAAAGAGAACCGUAACACAGGUGCUGCAUGGCUGUCGUCAGCUCGUGUCGUGAGAUGUUGGGUUAAGUCCCGCAACGAGCGCAACCCUUGUCAUUAGUUGCUACGAAAGGGCACUCUAAUGAGACUGCCGGUGACAAACCGGAGGAAGGUGGGGAUGACGUCAAGUCCUCAUGGCCCUUAUAGGUGGGGCUACACACGUCAUACAAUGGCUGGUACAAAGGGUUGCCAACCCGCGAGGGGGAGCUAAUCCCAUAAAACCAGUCGUAGUCCGGAUCGCAGUCUACAACUCGACUGCGUGAAGUCGGAAUCGCUAGUAAUCGUGGAUCAGAAUGUCACGGUGAAUACGUUCCCGGGUCUUGUACACACCGCCCGUCACACCAUGGGAGCGGGUUCUGCCAGAAGUAGUUAGCCUAACCGCAAGGAGGGCGAUUACCACGGCAGGGUUCGUGACUGGGGUGAAGUCGUAACAAGGUAAC
rnacentral:rRNA from 1 species